rnacentral:snRNA from 1 species
GCAAGUCUCUUGCCGAAUGGCUAGAAUCAAUCGUAGUAUCUGUUCUUCUUAUGUUUAACCGCUAAGACUUUUAUGUUGAACCCAUUCUUUGGAACAUGCUGGGAGAUCUCUGAAGCUCGCCUUCAUGUCUCCCGGCACAGUGUCGCCUGUCUUGCACUUCCGCAGGCUGACGCGAAUGAUC